ensembl:lncRNA NTRAS non-coding transcript regulating alternative splicing
GCCUGUCCCAACCCUGGCCAUGGCUGACAAGGGGCCCAGGGACACUGGAGCAGAGAGACCUGCUGGUCCUUGGGGUUUCUUGCAAGCUAUUACAGGGUCUGACCUGGAGUAAAAGCUCCAUGAAUGCCGGCUGUCCUGUGGCCUCCCCGACACGUCCCCCCUGCUGGAAGGCUUUCCUCACCAUCUCCCUCAUAAACAAAGCCAAGGUCAAGGCUGCAGCCCAUGAGUGAAUCAUCUGUGAACACUUCCUGUGAACGUGUGACUAUGAUUAUGGAACACUCUGUUGCAUCAAGAUGGCCAGAGAUUGUCUCAGAGUCCAGGCAGUGGGAGGAGGGGGGAUUUGUUUCCUGGCUGGGUGGUCGUAGGGCAUCAAGGGAUGAGCAGCUUUGGUUGUCUGGGAUUUCAGCAGCUUGAGGGGAGCUGUAGGGCCCCAGAGCUGUCGCUGUGGCUGUGGUGUCAGAAAUGUAAGCAAGGUGCCUCCAUGGAGGUUAGCGAGGGUGCCCCUCUGAAUGCCGGGUGGAAUGCAACCUUUCGCAUGGAGGAGGCCCUCAGCAGCUGACCUCUGUCUUCCCUGUGUAGAGGGAGGGAGGCUGAGGCUGGGGCUGAGCGAGGGGUAAAGUAAGCCACGUGUCUCAUCAGCUAGCCUGCAGCAAGCACAGCCCUCUGGGAGGGCUGGUUCUAUCCUCCUCCUUGGUGUGAAAUCCAUCAAUCUAAUAGGGAUCCUUAUUUUCCCAGCCACCAAGUCACAAUGAGCAAUAAUCUCUUCUUGUUGGUGCAUAUAAAUUUGCUUCAUUCUUUUUUAAA